UACGUAGGCAGCAAGCGUUGUUCGGAAUUACUGGGCGUAAAGAGUGUGUAGGCGGUGCUCUAAGUUUGGUGUGAAAUCUCCCGGCUCAACUGGGAGGGUGCGCCGAAAACUGGAAUGCUUGAACGUGGGAGAGGAAAGCGGAAUUCCUGGUGUAGCGGUGAAAUGCGUAGAUAUCAGGAGGAACACCUGCGGUGGAGACGGCUUUCUGGACCAUUGUUGACGCUGAGACACGAAAGCGUGGGUAGCAAACAGG
rnacentral:rRNA from 1 species